rnacentral:rRNA from 1 species
UUCCGUAGGUGAACCUGCGGAAGGAUCAUUAACACGAAAUUCAAUUUCAACACCAACAACUAAUCGUGGACCACGACGGCGCAAGCCCGACUGUUCCAGAGGCGUCGAUCCCGGCGGAGCUCUCGCUUCGCUGCUGGUUGGCGCCACCGCUCACCCAUCUUUUUCAACCGAAAUCUCUGUCAAAGCAAUUCAUCACAAUUAUUUCACAAUUUUUAGCGAUGGAUGCCUCGGCUCGAGAAACGAUGAAGGACGCAGCAAAAUGCGAUAAGCACUGCGAAUGGCAAAACCUCGUGAAUCAAUAGAACGCUGAACGCAUCCUGCACUUUCAGGUUAUACCUGAAAGUAUGUCUUCUUCAGGGCAUAUGCACUCUUCUGCAAUCAAGCGCUGCAGCUUUCGCUACAGUACGGCUUGAUGGGCGUUGAUGUGUGUCAGCGCAUGGCUUCCACGAGCCCGUUGACACAUGAAAGUCAGUAGUUGUCACCAACUAGCUAAGCUGUCGCUUUGUGAUGCUCACGCUUUCCAAGUGAUAGCCGCGCCGGUCGGGUAUAUGCAGCUACCGAAACGCGAUUUGUUUCUUCCCUAUCAUGCAUGAAGUGAGACAAGGCUACCCGCUGAAUUUAAGCAUAUCAA